rnacentral:rRNA from 1 species
UACGUAGGGUGCAAGCGUUGUCCGGAAUUAUUGGGCGUAAAGAGCUCGUAGGCGGUUUGUUGCGUCGGCUGUGAAAUCCCGAGGCUCAACCUCGGGGUCUGCAGUCGAUACGAGCAAACUAGAGUGUUGCAGGGGGAGACUGGGAAUUCCCUGGUGUAGCGGUGAAAUGCGCAGAUAUCGGGAGGAACACCUGUGGCGAAAGCGGCGCACUGGACCACAACUGACGCUGGAGGCGCGAAAGC